rnacentral:rRNA from 1 species
GUAGGUGGCAAGCGUUGUCCGGAAUUAUUGGGCGUAAAGCGCGCGCAGGCGGUUCUUUAAGUCUGAUGUGAAAGCUCACGGCUCAACCGUGGAGGGUCAUUGGAAACUGGAGAACUUGAGUACAGAAGAGGAAAGCGGAAUUCCACGUGUAGCGGUGAAAUGCGUAGAGAUGUGGAGGAACACCAGUGGCGAAGGCGGCUUUCUGGUCUGUAACUGACGCUGAGGCGCGAAAGCGUGGGGGAGCAAACAGGAUUAGAUACCCUGGUAGUCCACGCCGUAAACGAUGAGUGCUAAGUGUUAGGGGGUUUCCGCCCCUUAGUGCUGCAGCUAACGCAUUAAGCACUCCGCCUGGGAGUACGGCCGCAAGGCUG